AAAUUGAAGAGUUUGAUCAUGGCUCAGAUUGAACGCUGGCGGCAGGCCUAACACAUGCAAGUCGAACGGUAACAGGAAGAAGCUUGCUUCUUUGCUGACGAGUGGCGGACGGGUGAGUAAUGUCUGGGAAACUGCCUGAUGGAGGGGGAUAACUACUGGAAACGGUAGCUAAUACCGCAUAACGUCGCAAGACCAAAGAGGGGGACCUUCGGGCCUCUUGCCAUCGGAUGUGCCCAGAUGGGAUUAGCUAGUAGGUGGGGUAACGGCUCACCUAGGCGACGAUCCCUAGCUGGUCUGAGAGGAUGACCAGCCACACUGGAACUGAGACACGGUCCAGACUCCUACGGGAGGCAGCAGUGGGGAAUAUUGCACAAUGGGCGCAAGCCUGAUGCAGCCAUGCCGCGUGUAUGAAGAAGGC
rnacentral:rRNA from 1 species